rnacentral:tRNA from 1 species
UCAAAUUAGAGCUUGGGAGGAAGCGCCUCAUUUACACUGGGGAGUAUUAUCGUGCGAUUCGAUUUAAUUUGAU